rnacentral:lncRNA from 1 species
AUGCCGUUGCACGGGUUACAUAAUCGUCCAUUUGAAGGCGCUACAAAAACUGCUCGCUCUCUAGCGGCGCUCGUCAACAUGUCAACUCACAACAAAACAAUCGUAGCGCCGGCUACUGGAAACUGGAAAUCUUGUUGUGUCCUCGCUUGUGAGUUUUAUUUCACAAUAUUCACAUUUGUACUUCUGGAAAGUUUCUUUAUUCACCCACGACUAAACACUAGAGUGGACAAACCUGUUAUUUCUAUUUCAUACCUUACUUACUUCAUUCGUGUUGGUUCAAUCACAAUGGCAACAACAUCAAUCGUAAAUGUGACAAGCUCCCAAUAGUCAAGGUAUCUUCGUCUGCGAUUAUGUUGAAUUGGAACCGAUAAAUCCCAACAAGAAAUAAUUUCUCGUAAAUGUUUGCCUGCUGUUUUGUACCAAAUUUAAUUAUUUUUAAGAGUGUUUCAAAGAUUUUCAAAAACUGUUUAACUACCUACAAGUAUUCAUUUAUUUUGUUCCUAUGAUUACUACUACAUUUUAAAUACUGAGUAUGAAUAAAGCUUCUUUUGUUCUUGAAAUUUUGUUUUCAACGUAUGUUUUUCCAAUCGUACUUUGUGUUUAGUUCCAUGGAGAAUGGAGAUAGGUACCAAUGCAUAUCAUGUGUAAAAAAGGAUUCGUACAAAUAAGUAUUCUCUUUUAACAGCUAAAACCAUGCCCUUUUCAAAGAAAGCUGGUUGACAGCAGUUCAGUUUUGUAUUACGUAUGUAAGUAAUGUCCUUUUGAAUCUCUCUGAAAAAAUUUUAUACCUAACUUUUUACGUAUAAAAUGAGUCAUCUACAGCCAUACAAGUAGGUGUCAAAUUGCAAUGCCAUGCAACAUGAAAGAAUCGCAACAUUUUGAGAAAAAAUACUGUUCAUUGAGACUUGCAACGUCUUGAUGCAAUCGUGUUUUCAUGGCUUUGAAUGUUGUUUUUAAUGACUAAUUUUCAUCGUAAAAUUUAGGAUAUUGAAAGGAAACACCUGUUUUUUUAUCCAUCCUAGUGGUUUUCGAUCAUAGGUACGCAUGUUUUUUCUGCUUUCCUCAAGGACAACAGAAAAACAUAUCGCUUCCCCUUUCAGCAGUGGAUGAAAUGAGUCCUGAAUUAACUCCCUUGAGGACGUUGAAAGAAAAUUUACAAUGGACCAUCCAACGUUUCCAGCUUGUAAAAAUGUAUUAUCUACUUUUCCUGACAACAGUACUUAAAACAUACACAAUUGAACAAAAAUUCGCUGAUUUUUCAACUAUUCAUGAGUAGAUGAAAAACCAAAAUCAAUUGAUCCUGUUUAAAUCUGAACAAAUCAAUUUUUUUCAUUAUGUUUUAAGUAGCUGUCCUCGUGAAAAGUAGAAAAGAUAUUUGCAUAAGCUGGAAAGGUUGGAUGGUCCAUGGCAAAUUUUCGUUCAACGUCCUCGAGGGAUUUAAUUCAGGGCUCAUCUCAUCCACUGCUGGAAAGGGAGGGAGGACUGAUAACACUUUUAUAACGAUGUCCACACAAUAUUCUAGGAAUAUUUUGCGGAUUUUACAAAUAUCCUGAGGUCAUCCUGACAAUAUUCUGUGGACUUUUCAAGUAAUUUUUUCAAAUAUCCCUAGAAUGUUCACACAAUAUUUUGGGGAUUUUCAAAUAUCCCCAGAAUAUUCUGGGGAUUUCGUUUUGUCUCACGAAAAUGUUCUGAGAAUGUUGUGAGAAUAUUCCGGAAUAUUCUCACAACAUUGUCAGAACGUUUUGAAUUUGCCUCGAAAUAUUAUCAGAACGUUCACAGAAUAUUAGGCUGCUAACUGGGCUGUACUAACUUGGAAAUGAAAAAAAUAAACGGAUAUAUUAGCUAUGGUAGGGUUGGAGUUUCGAAAAAUUU